rnacentral:rRNA from 1 species
AGCUAAACACCCUCCUGUUUGCGUAUUCGUGCUCGUGGGUGUACUUGCCCGUGUGGUAGGUUAACAUCAAUUUCGGGCAUCAUAAAAUGGUUGGAGGAAUGUGGCUUCGACCUCGGUUGAAGUGUUAUAGCCUUCGGCAGAUGUGAUGAUCGGGAUUGAGGAUUGCAACGGAUACCCUUUGGGGCUACCUGUCUGAUCUCUGAUGGUUAUUCUGGUGCCGAAAGCUUGCUUACGGUCAUCAAAGUUGACUGCCAAUAGGUUAGAAUGGGAUAAAUUCGUUAAGGAUGUUGACGUA